rnacentral:rRNA from 1 species
CCUACGGGAGGCAGCAGUAGGGAAUAUUGGACAAUGGGCGCAAGCCUGAUCCAGCCAUACCGCGUGUGUGAAGAAGGCCUUCGGGUUGUAAAGCACUUUAAGCAGGGAGAAAAAGUUAUAAGUUAAUACCUUAUAACCGUGAUGUUACCUGCAGAAUAAGCACCGGCUAAUUCCGUGCCAGCAGCCGCGGUAAU